CGCUGGCGGCGUGCCUAAUACAUGCAAGUCGAACGCACUCUCGUUUAGAUUGAAGGAGUUUGCUCCUGAUUGAUAACAUUUGAGUGAGUGGCGGACGGGUGAGUAACACGUGGGUAACCUGCCCUAAAGUGGGGGAUAACAUUUGGAAACAGAUGCUAAUACCGCAUAAAACCUAACACCGCAUGGUGUAGGGUUGAAAGAUGGUUUCGGCUAUCACUUUAGGAUGGACCCGCGGUGCAUUAGUUAGUUGGUGAGGUAAAGGCUCACCAAGACCGUGAUGCAUAGCCGACCUGAGAGGUAAUCGGCCACACUGGGACUGAGACACGGCCCAGACUCCUACGGGAGGCAGCAGUAGGGAAUCUUCCACAAUGGACGAAAGUCUGAUGGAGCAACGCCGCGUGAGUGAAGAAGGUUUUCGGAUCGUAAAACUCUGUUGUUGGAGAAGAAUGUAUCUGAUAGUAACUGAUCAGGUAGUGACGGUAUCCAACCAGAAAGCCACGGCUAACUACGUG
rnacentral:rRNA from 1 species